UUUUAGCAAAGGAGUCAAAAGCUGGAAAAUAGCAAAAAGCUACUGCCCAUAAUUUUGUAAGGGCUGUUUCGGCCACUUAAUUUGUGAGAAAAAUUCCAGCCUUUUGGGACAUGAAAGUAUACGGUAUAAGGUACCUCCUGUCCAAAAAUGAGCUCAUUCCGACUUAAAAUGAGCAAGUUAUAACCAUUUCAAUAUUUAGGUUUUUC
rnacentral:lncRNA from 1 species